UUAACUAUUAGAUAGUACUCAGACGACACUAACAAUCAGAGUUUAAGGUCCUCUGACACGCACGAUCCAGCCAAGCCGGUGCCCGAAGGCGGCGUGCCAAAGCAACGAAGAUAUAAUACACAAGGGUGAGGUUUGCUACCCGUGAGGGCAGCUAACACUGUAAUGAUCCUUCCGCAGGUUCACCUACGGAAA
rnacentral:misc_RNA from 1 species